AGCGAACGCUGGCGGCAGGCCUAACACAUGCAAGUCGAACGAAGUCUUCGGACUUAGUGGCGGACGGGUGAGUAACACGUGGGAACGUACCUUUUGGUUCGGAACAACUCAGGGAAACUUGAGCUAAUACCGAAUGUGCCCUUAGGGGGAAAGAUUUAUCGCCAUUAGAGCGGCCCGCGUUAGAUUAGCUAGUUGGUGAGGUAAAGGCUCACCAAGGCUACGAUCUAUAGCUGGUCUGAGAGGAUGAUCAGCCACACUGGGACUGAGACACGGCCCAGACUCCUACGGGAGGCAGCAGUGGGGAAUCUUGCGCAAUGGGCGAAAGCCUGACGCAGCCAUGCCGCGUGAAUGAUGAAGGUCUUAGGAUUGUAAAAUUCUUUUAGCAGGGACGAUAAUGACGGUACCUGCAGAAAAAGCCCCGGCUAACUUCGUGCCAGCAGCCGCGGUAA
rnacentral:rRNA from 1 species